AUGUUAACUAAUCUACAUUUACAAUAUGAAAGACUUCCUCCACUAAGAAUGUCCUUUACUUCAUAUAUCCUUCUGAACAGGACUCACACUUCAAUAAAAUUUUGGAUAAUCUCAGGAUACAAAAUCGUGGCUGUGGGUGACAUAUUUGACAUUUCCAACCUUGACCGGCUAGGCAAAUCUGAGGUGAUGAAAUACACCAGUGAACAGAGCAUGCAUUCACAGGGGGACCAGAGAGGCAGAGGGUCUCUCAGAGCAGAUGCUAAAACUGAUGAUGAUGGAUGUCUACAUGGAGACUGUUGAGUGAUCAGGGGAGGCUCAUGUAGAUUCUACAUUUUCCAUUGUUUCAUGAAAUCUUAUAUGCAAAUUUACAGGGACAAUUAGUCUCACACCAAUGCAGGGUGGCACUCUGAGAUUUCGCUUUUUAUCAAGAUUUUUCAUGUUUCUCAUGUUUUGCAUUGUAUAUCAUAUGUUUUUAAAAUAUUAAUUUGAAAAAGAGUGAAAAAGUGGAUAGAUUUUUAUGUUACUACAGGCAUUACAGUAAUUACUUGAUAUCCGGUUGUGCUUAUCCAGGUCUGUCUGGAUCUUUUGUCAGUUGAUAAAGUGACAGUAGAUGGUUCUUCUCACAGUUCAAAGCAAUCUUUGCUAAAUGGGGGACAGUCUGGCCAUUGUAUCGGAGAAAAGAUCUAGAUGUUUUUGGGCUGUUCCACCUCCCCAGUGGUAACUGUCACAAACCACACAAAGAGAUCAGGAGAAAAAACAUGGCAAACUAAUUGGUUACAAUCUUGCUUUACAUAUUUGUCUACAAGAGACUAUAAACACAUAAGCUUAUGUCCCUAUGGGCUUAAUGCUAAUGUGCAAUAUCAUAAGCAAUCUGUGUAAAGUGUGUUGUGAGAUACACAUAGCUAUAUUGGUGGUUUACUGUUACAGUAAAGCAAAGUGGUAUAGGGUCAUGAGUAAUGUAUCCGAUGUUUCCCAGUUUUUUCAAGAACAAAUUUUUGUUAAAUGUUUUAUCUGUCCAGCAACUAAUGAUCC
ensembl:lncRNA